rnacentral:rRNA from 1 species
UACGAAGGGGGCUAGCGUUGUUCGGAUUUACUGGGCGCAAAGCGCACGUAGGCGGAUUGUUAAGUCAGGGGUGAAAUCCUGGAGCUCAACUCCAGAACUGCCCUUGAUACUGGCAAUCUUGAGUCCGGAAGAGGUGAGUGGAACUCCUAGUGUAGAGGUGGAAUUCGUAGAUAUUAGGAAGAACACCAGUGGCGAAGGCGGCUCACUGGUCCGGUACUGACGCUGAGGUGCGAAAGCGUGGGGAGCAAACAGG